rnacentral:rRNA from 1 species
GUAGGGUGCGAGCGUUAAUCGGAAUUAUUGGGCGUAAAGCGAGUGCAGACGGUUGUUUAAGCCAGAUGUGAAAUCCCCGAGCUUAACUUGGGACGUGCAUUUGGAACUGGAUAACUAGAGUGUGUCAGAGGGAGGUAGAAUUCCACAUGUAGCGGUGGAGUGCGUAGAGAUGUGGAGGAAUACCGAUGGCGAAGGCAGCCUCCUGGGAUAACACUGACGUUGAGGCUCGAAAGCGUGGGGAGCAAACAGGAUUAGAUACCCUGGUAGUCCACGCCCUAAACGAUGACAAUUAGCUGUUGGGCUUUGAAAGGCUUAGUAGCGAAGCUAACGCGUGAAAUUGUCCGCCUGGGGAGUACGGUCGCAAGAUUA